rnacentral:lncRNA from 1 species
CUGUGCCCCAGACCUCCUGAGAAGUCAGCAUGGAACUGCUCACUAAGGUGCUUUGAUUCCACUUGAACUUCAACCAUCUGUAAGCUGCUCCUAUUCUGUUCAGGAGACUGGCAGCUUCCUAAAGGCAGAGGUUGGUGUAACGGGGGUGGGAGCGCUGGCAGGUGGGGUUGGGACAUUGGAAUUGUGA